CAGGACAAGUCCAUGUGAUGUCCAUGGUAGGUCAGCUGUCUGAGGACAAGUCCAUGUGAUGUCCAUGGUAGGUCAGCUGUCUGAGGACAAGUCCAUGUGAUGUCCAUGGUAGGUCAGCUGUCUGAGGACAAGUCCAUGUGAUGUCCAUGGUAGGUCAGCUGUCUGAGGACAAGUCCAUGUGAUGUCCAUGGUAGGUCAGCUGUCUGAGGACAAGUCCAUGUGAUGUCCAUGGUAGGUCAGCUGUCCCCAUGGUAGGUCAGCUGUCUGAGGACAAGUCCAUGUGAUGUCCAUGGUAGGUCAGCUGUCUGAGGACAAGUCCAUGUGAUGUCCAUGGUAGGUCAGCUGUCCCCAUGGUAGGUCAGCUGUCUGAGGACAAGUCCAUGUGAUGUCCAUGGUAGGUCAGCUGUCUGAGGACAAGUCCAUGUGAUGUCCAUGGUAGGUCAGCUGUCCCCAUGGUAGGUCAGCUGUCUGAGGACAAGUCCAUGUGAUGUCCAUGGUAGGUCAGCUGUCCCCAUGGUAGGUCAGCUGUCUGAGGACAAGUCCAUGUGAUGUCCAUGGUAGGUCAGCUGUCUGAGGACAAGUCCAUGUGAUGUCCAUGGUAGGUCAGCUGUCCCCAUGGUAGGUCAGCUGUCUGAGGACAAGUCCAUGUGAUGUCCAUGGUAGGUCAGCUGUCUGAGGACAAGUCCAUGUGAUGUCCAUGGUAGGUCAGCUGUCUGAGGACAAGUCCAUGUGAUGUCCAUGGUAGGUCAGCUGUCUGAGGACAAGUCCAUGUGAUGUCCAUGGUAGGUCAGCUGUCUGAGGACAAGUCCAUGUGAUGUCCAUGGUAGGUCAGCUGUCUGAGGACAAGUCCAUGUGAUGUCCAUGGUAGGCAGCUGCCUAAGGACAAGUCCAUGUGAUGCUGCACGGUCAACACAGUGAUCAUUAAAAAAAAACUUGUCCUCCACAACACUUUAGGCCAGUGUUACUGCAGGGCUGGAACAAUACCCUGCACGUGGUUUGGGGUUCGGCCACCCACCCCUGAUCGAAUUAGUAUCAUCAUCAUGAUUCACCUGACUACACACACACACAGUACACACACACACAGUACACACACACACAGUACACACACACAGUACACACACACAGUACACACACACACACAGUACACA